UGCAGAGAGACAUGGAGAGAGAUGCAGAGAGACAUGGAGAGAGAUAGACAGAGAUGCAGAGAGACAUGGAGAGAGAUAGACAGAGAUGCAGAGAGACAUGGAGAGAGAUAGACAGAGAUGCGGAGAGAGAUAGACAGAGAUGCAGAGAGAGAUAGACAGAGAUGCAGAGAGAGAUAGACAGAGAUGCAGAGAGACAUGGAGAGAGGUAGACAGAGAUGCAGAGAGACAUGGAGAGAGAUGCAGAGAGACAUGGAGAGAGAUAGACAGAGAUGCAGAGAGACAUGGAGAGAGAUGCAGAGAGACAUGGAGAGCGAUAGACAGAGAUGCAGAGAGACAUGGAGAGAGGUAGACAGAGAUGCAGAGAGACAUGGAGAGAGAUAGACAGAGAUGCAGAGAGACAUGGAGAGAGAUGCAGAGAGACAUGGAGAGAGGUAGACAGAGAUGCAGAGAGACAUGGAGAGAGAUGCAGAGAGACAUGGAGAGAGGUAGACAGAGAUGCAGAGAGACAUGGAGAGAGAUGCAGAGAGAGAUGCAGAGAGACAUGGAGAGAGGUAGACAGAGAUGCAGAGAGACAUGGAGAGAGAUAGACAGAGAUGCAGAGAGACAUGGAGAGAGAUGCAGAGAGACAUGGAGAGAGAUAGACAGAGAUGCAGAGAGACAUGGAGAAAGAUAGACAGAGAUGCAGAGAGACAUGGAGAGAGGUAGACAGAGAUGCAGAGAGACAUGGAGAGAGAUGCAGAGAGACAUGGAGAGAGAUAGACAGAGAUGCAGAGAGACAUGGAGAGAGAUAGACAGAGAUGCAGAGAGACAUGGAGAGAGAUAGACAGAGAUGCAGAGAGACAUGGAGAGAGGUAGACAGAGAUGCAGAGAGACAUGGAGAGAGAUGCAGAGAGACAUGGAGAGAGAUAGACAGAGAUGCAGAGAGACAUGGAGAGAGAUAGACAGAGAUGCGGAGAGAGAUAGACAGAGAUGCAGAGAGAGAUAGACAGAGAUGCAGAGAGAGAUAGACAGAGAUGCAGAGAGACAUGGAGAGAGGUAGACAGAGAUGCAGAGAGACAUGGAGAGAGAUAGAGAGACAUGGAGAGAGAUAGACAGAGAUGCAGAGAGACAUGGAGAGAGAUAGACAGAGAUGCAGAGAGACAUGGAGAGAGGUAGACAGAGAUGCAGAGAGACAUGGAGAGAGAUGCAGAGAGACAUGGAGAGAGAUAGACAGAGAUGCAGAGAGACAUGGAGAGAGGUAGACAGAGAUGCAGAGAGACAUGGAGAGAGAUGCAGAGAGACAUGGAGAGAGAUAGACAGAGAUGCAGAGAGACAUGGAGAGAGGUAGACA